UGAUAGGGGCAGGAUUUAAACCCGCCUUAGCGGGGCUACAACCCGCUGCUAAAACACUUAACUACCCUACC
rnacentral:tRNA from 1 species